AUAUUAUUUGAGAGUUUUCUCUUCUUUACACCUUUGUGUGUGGUGACUAUGGAUUUCUCUUACAACCUUAUAAGAACGAUUCUUUAAGAGAUGUGUCAAAUCCUCCAAAGUCAUGCAAUUUUGCAGCAUCCGACGGUUCAACAACAUUUUAAAAAGAACGACCAGCGUAGCUAUAUAUACAUCAAGCACAUUGGAUGCCAACUUCCAUUGAAUUACCAGACUUCCACCUAAUGUGGCAUGUGUUAAGAAAAUGACAAAAGACCAAUAUCACAUAAUGCUCUAUGAUUAUGUUGUUCGGACUCUUCAAAAAUGUUGACUGAUGCGUGUCAGAUAAGUAUUUUAGGAGGAACAGGCACAGGGAUUACUAAUCCUGCCUAGCUAGGGCUUCUUGAUCACGAGCAGUCGUUACGUUUCUCAACUGACAAUAUUAGGUGAUCAUGAUCAUGAACAAUGAAUCAAUUAAUGAUGAAGAGAGAGAAUUCUUGAUUCAAUUCUCCACCUUCACAACAUAAAAUAGAAUUGAUCAAAUUUUAUUGAAUCUGACUCAUAGUGAUCACCAAUGAAACUAUAUUCAUGAUCAGCUGUAUUUUUAUUUCCUUAAGAUCAGACAUCAUGAGUUGUUAUACUAUAAACUUUUGCUAUUAUGUAAAGGUAAAUACUUACUCCCA